CUGGAGUGAGAUGAUAUCUUAGUUGUAAGUUCUGUGUCUAAUUCAUUUCUUUGCAUACAGAUGCAAAGGUGUUCAUAAUUCAUUUAAAAAAUCAUCAUCUCCAGUGAAGUCCUGACUUCUCUUGUGUGUUUGAGUUUAUUUCUAGGUUUUCAUUCCACUAAUCUCACCUUGCCACAUCUCACCUUUUGAGUUACUAUAAGUUCAUAGUAAAUCUCAGCAUCAGAUAUUUGAGUCCUGUAACCCUAUUCUACAGAAUUGUUGAUCGCUCUGUAUGCCUGCCUUCUCCAUAUAGCCUUUAGAAGCAAUUUUUUAAUAUUUGUGCAACAGGUUGUUAGGAUUUUAUCAUGGUUGUGUUUAAUUCAUUUAUUAGAGUUAUAGAUAACUAAUAUAUUAAUAUUGAAUGCUCCUUUCUAUGUUUGGUAGUUGUAGGGUCCCCCAAUUUACAGGAAGUUGAUCAGCAGUAUAAAUGACAUUCUGGGACUUAUAAGUGGCAUCAGAAUUAGGUGAAAGACUGCAAGUUUGAGACAUGAACUAGUGACAUUUGUGCCAACCAGUGCAAACAAUAUGUUCUUUUUUAAAAAUAUUUUUUAGUUGUUGAUGUACUUUUAUUCUUUAUUUAUAUGUGGUGCUGAGGAUCAGACCUGCUGCCUCACACAUGCUAGGCAAGUGCUCUGCCACUGAGCCACAACUCCAAUUUGAUUUUCUGCAAAUUCACACAUUUUCUUCUAGAAACAUAAAUUUUAAAGGACAUUGUAGGUGAGGACCUUAAACUGACUGCAGCUAUGUGUCUUUUAAACUGGUGAGAAUUGUGACUCUGGAAGACUAAGUAUUUCCUUUCUUUGCAAAAGGAAUCUGAGGUAUGUGGACCUUACUUUUAGCUGCCCAGAAUUGCCCGACUCACUGCUUAGGAAUGAGUCACAGAAGGCCACAGUGUUACAGGGAGGGUGCUCCACAGUUUAGAAAAUAUAUUUAUUCUAACAUGUCAGGAUUUUUAUUUAUUUUACUUUAUUUUUUUUGCAUUUUGUGAA
rnacentral:lncRNA from 1 species